AACGCGAAGAACCUUACCUGGCCUUGACAUGCACUGGACAUGCGCUGAAAGGCGUCCUUCCCGCAAGGGACCGGUGCACAGGUGCUGCAUGGCUGUCGUCAGCUCGUGUCGUGAGAUGUUGCGUUAAGUCGCGCAACGAGCGCAACCCCUGUCCUUAGUUGCCACCAUUCAGUUGGGCACUCUAGGGAGACAAACCCUCUUUGAGGGUGGGAAGGUGGGGAUGACGUCAAGUCAGGAUGGCCCUUACGGCCAGGGCUGCACACGUGCUACAAUGCCCAGCACAGAGGGACGCAAUACCGCAAGGUGGAGCAAAUCCUCAAAACUGGGCCCAGUUCAGAUUGUAGUCUGCAACUCGACUACAUGAAGUUGGAAUCGCUAGUAAUGGCGUAUCAGCUACGACGCCGUGAAUACGUUCCCGGGCCUUGUACACACCGGACACGC
rnacentral:rRNA from 1 species